rnacentral:rRNA from 1 species
UACACACACUCCGCCCGGGGACUACAAACAAAAGUUUAAAACCCAAAGGACUUGGCGGUGCUUAACAUCCACCUAGAGGAGCCUGUUCUACAACCGAUAAUCCCCGUUCAACCUCACCCUUCCUUGUUAUAAUCCGCCUAUAUACCGCCAUCGUCAGUCCACCCUGUGAAGGCCCCACAGUCGACAAAACCGCAACAACCCCAAACGUUAGGUCGAGGUGUAGCGUAUGGAGGGGGAAGAAAUGGGCUACAUUUGCUACAACAGCACAACACGAAUUUUGUUUUGAAACAUACAACUGAAGGAGGAUUUAGCAGUAAGCAGAAAAUAGAGCGUUCUACUGAAACCGGCACUUAAGCACGCACACACCGCCCGUC